GCGCCCAUAGCUCAGCAGGAUAGAGCAACGGUUUCCUAAACCGCAGGUCGGGGGUUCGAAUCCCUUUGGGCGUACCA
rnacentral:tRNA from 1 species